GUAAGUUCCGACCUGCACGAAUGGUGCAACGACUUCCCCACUGUCUCAACAAGAGUCUCGGCGAAAUUGUAGUGUCAGUGAAGAUGCUGACUACCCGCAAUAGGACGGAAAGACCCCGUGAACCUUUACUGUAACCUGGCAUUGAGCUUUGGUGUAGUUUGUGUAGGAUAGGUGGGAGACUUUGAAGCGGUCGCGCCAGCGGCUGUGGAGUCAUCCUUGAAAUACCACCCUGAUUAUUCCAGUGCUCUAACAGAUUUCAAAACAAUUUGGACAUUGUCAGGCGGGCAGUUUGACUGGGGCGGUCGCCUCCUAAAAGGUAACGGAGGCGCUCAAAGGUUCCCUCAGAAUGG
rnacentral:rRNA from 18 species